UACCAGUGAUGCCAUAGUGUUGCAUCUGUCCAUUAGAAACAAAGAAUUUGGGAUUGCUGUCGCAACGAACAUGGACAUGGCUACUGCUUUAAAACUUUUUUAUCCCAAGCAGUAAUAAUUCAUAUGUAUCCCAGCAGGAUCUAGUAAGACCUGUACAACAUGUGGAAUUUGGAAAAAAUAUACAAGAGGUCACUUGCCUGCCACCUUUCAUCAUUACUUACCCACCAACAAGAGCUUUAAAAUGGUUCUGAAGAUAUGGGGAGAAAAUGAGUGAGAAACGACUAUAAAAUCUGGAAGCCAAGCUCCUUGAGGCAAAGCUCAGAAUCUUAUCAACUAAACCAGGUACAAAUGAGGCUCCUUGAGUAUGGUUAUUUAAGCACAGCUAUUCAAGUACAGGCUUCCUGAUCAGCAGAUCCGUGAACUAAGAGGACAAUGUAUGUUCCCCGCACACAUGGCCUCCAAUGAUGAGACAAACACGAUAACCACAG